rnacentral:rRNA from 1 species
GAUGAACGCUGGCGGCGUGCUUAACACAUGCAAGUCGAACGGAAAGGCCCAAGCUUGCUUGGGUGCUCGAGUGGCGAACGGGUGAGUAACACGUGGGUGAUCUGCCCUGCACUUUGGGAUAAGCCUGGGAAACUGGGUCUAAUACCUGAUAGGACCAUCGUUUAGUGUCGGUGGUGGAAAGUUUUUCGGUGUGGGAUGAGCUCGCGGCCUAUCAGCUUGUUGGUGGGGUAAUGGCCUACCAAGGCGUCGACGGGUAGCCGGCCUGAGAGGGUGUACGGCCACAUUGGGACUGAGAUACGGCCCAGACUCCUACGGGAGGCAGCAGUGGGGAAUAUUGCACAAUGGGCGCAAGCCUGAUGCAGCGACGCCGCGUGGGGGAUGACGGCCUUCGGGUUGUAAACUCCUUUCGCCAAGGACGAAGCGUUUUGUGACGGUACUUGGAGAAGAAGCACCGGCUAACUACGUG